CGCGGACAGAACUCAGGAGCCCUGAAUAAGGUCCAAGCAGCCGAGGACAAUGAAGGCUUCUCUGUCUACCUGGCAGCUUGGCGGGACCCAGGCCUAGGACAGACAGGCACUCAGGGCGACCGGAGGAUCCUUGCCGCCCAGGGAUCCCAGCGGCCCUCCUAGGGGAGGAGAGGUUCUCUAGGUUUACCUACAGAGCAAUCUGAUGAAGGUAUUUCCUCAACUGAAGUUCCUGCUUCUUAGACGGCCCGACCUGAUGUCAAGCUGACUGGAAACUAACACAGCUUUCUACCAGACCAUCAAAGAAUUCCUCCUUCAGAAGGGUGAGUAGUCCAUUACAACGGAAGUCAGGACGGGAACUCAAGCAGGGAUGGAGCCUGGAGGCAGGACCUGAGGCAGAGGCCGU
ensembl:lncRNA LOC102549668 uncharacterized LOC102549668